rnacentral:rRNA from 1 species
UAGGGAAUCUUCGGCAAUGGGGGGAACCCUGACCGAGCAACGCCGCGUGAGUGAAGAAGGUUUUCGGAUCGUAAAGCUCUGUUGUUAAGGAAGAACGAGUGUGAGAAUGGAAAGUUCAUGCUGUGACGGUACUUAACCAGAAAGGGACGGCUAACUACGUGCCAGCAGCCGCGGUAAUACGUAGGUGGCAAGCGUUGUCCGGAAUUAUUGGGCGUAAAGCGCGCGCAGGUGGUUUAGAAAGUCUGAUGUGAAAGCCCACGGCUCAACCGUGGAGGGUCAUUGGAAACUAAUAAACUUGAGUGCAGGAGAGAAAAGUGGAAUUCCUAGUGUAGCGGUGAAAUGCGUAGAGAUUAGGAGGAACACCGGUGGCGAAAGCGGCUUUUUGGCCUGCAACUGACACUGAGGCGCGAAAGCGUGGGGAGCAAACAGG